rnacentral:rRNA from 2 species
CCCUUAGAGUUUGAUCCUGGCUCAGAUUGAACGCUGGCGGCAGGCCUAACACAUGCAAGUCGAGCGGUAACAGAUUGAUAGCUUGCUAUCGAUGCUGACGAGCGGCGGACGGGUGAGUAAUGCCUGGGAAUAUGCCCUGAUGUGGGGGAUAACUAUUGGAAACGAUAGCUAAUACCGCAUAAUCUCUUUGGAGCAAAGAGGGGGACCUUCGGGCCUCUCGCGUCAGGAUUAGCCCAGGUGGGAUUAGCUUGUUGGUGGGGUAAUGGCUCACCAAGGCAACGAUCCCUAGCUGGUCUGAGAGGAUGAUCAGCCACACUGGAACUGAGACACGGUCCAGACUCCUACGGGAGGCAGCAGUGGGGAAUAUUGCACAAUGGGGGAAACCCUGAUGCAGCCAUGCCGCGUGUAUGAAGAAGGCCUUCGGGUUGUAAAGUACUUUCAGUUGUGAGGAAGGCAGUAAAGUUAAUAGCUUUGCUGUUUGACGUUAGCAACAGAAGAAGCACCGGCUAACUCCGUGCCAGCAGCCGCGGUAAUACGGAGGGUGCGAGCGUUAAUCGGAAUUACUGGGCGUAAAGCGCAUGCAGGUGGUCUGUUAAGCAAGAUGUGAAAGCCCGGGGCUCAACCUCGGAACAGCAUUUUGAACUGGCAAACUAGAGUACUGUAGAGGGGGGUAGAAUUUCACGUGUAGCGGUGAAAUGCGUAGAGAUCUGAAGGAAUACCGGUGGCGAAGGCGGCCCCCUGGACAGAUACUGACACUCAAUGCGAAAGCGUGGGGAGCAACAGGAUUAGAUACCCUGGUAGUCCACGCC